ensembl:rRNA 5S_rRNA 5S ribosomal RNA
UCCAGUCGCCAUAUCAUCCUGUAGCCCAAGACUGGUUGCCCACUGAAGCUAAGCAGGGCUGCGCCUGGUCAGUACCUGGAUGGGAGACCUCCUGGGAAAACUAGGUUGCUGCUGGAA